rnacentral:rRNA from 1 species
UACAGAGGUCUCAAGCGUUGUUCGGAUUCAUUGGGCGUAAAGGGUGCGUAGGCGGCGCGGUAAGUCGGGUGUGAAAUCUCGGAGCUUAACUCCGAAACUGCAUUCGAUACUGCCGUGCUUGAGGACUGGAGAGGAGACUGGAGUUUACGGUGUAGCAGUGAAAUGCGUAGAGAUCGUAAGGAAGACCAGUGGCGAAGGCGGGUCUCUGGACAGUUCCUGACGCUGAGGCACGAAGGCCAGGGGAGCAAACGGG